rnacentral:rRNA from 1 species
UUGGAGGGCAAGUCUGGUGCCAGCAGCCGCGGUAAUUCCAGCUCCAAUAGCGUAUAUUAAAGUUGUUGCAGUUAAAAAGCUCGUAGUUGAAUUUCGGGGUCAGUAGGUUGGUCGUGCCACUGGUAUGUACUGGUCUCACUGAUUCCUCCUUCCUGAUGAGCUGUAAUGCCAUUAAUUUGGUGUUGCAGGGAAUCUGGACUGUUACUUUGAAAAAAUUAGAGUGUUUAAAGCAGGCUAACGCUUGAAUACAUUAGCAUGGAAUAAUGAAAUAGGACGUUCGAUCCUAUUUUGUUGGUUUCUAGGAUUGACGUAAUGAUUAAUAGGGAUAGUUGGGGGCAUUAGCAUUCAAUUGUCAGAGGUGAAAUUCUUGGAUUUAUUGAAGACUAACUACUGCGAAAGCAUUUGCCAAGGAUGUUUUCAUUAAUCAGGAACGAAAGUUAGGGGAUCGAAGACGAUCAGAUACCGUCGUGGUCUUAACCAUAAACUAUGCCGACUAGGGAUCGGAUGAUGUUAAUUUUUUAAUGACUCAUUCGGCGCCUUACGGGAAAC